rnacentral:rRNA from 1 species
AGUGAACGCUGGCGGUAGGCCUAACACAUGCAAGUCGAACGGCAGCACAGUAAGAGCUUGCUCUUACGGGUGGCGAGUGGCGGACGGGUGAGGAAUACAUCGGAAUCUACUUUUUCGUGGGGGAUAACGUAGGGAAACUUAUGCUAAUACCGCAUACGAUCUACGGGUUGAAUUAGGGGAUCUUCGGACCUUUCGCGAUUGAUUGAGCCGAUGUCGGAUUAGCUAGUUGGCGGGGUAAAGGCCCACCAAGGCGACGAUCCGUAGCUGGUCUGAGAGGAUGAUCAGCCACACUGGAACUGAGACACGGUCCAGACUCCUACGGGAGGCAGCAGUGGGGAACAUUGGACAAUGGGCGCAAGCCUGAUCCAGCCAUACCGCGUGGGUGAAGAAGGCCUUCGGGUUGUAAAGCCCUUUUGUUAGGAAAGAAAAGAAGCAGGUUAAUACCCCGCUGUUCUGACGGUACCCAAUGAAUAAGCACCGGCUAACUUCGUG